CAACCGCCAUCAAAAAAGAAAAAAAACUUUGUUAUAAGGGCGAGGCUUAUUUUGUUCGGUUCCUGCCCUUGAUUCGACUCUCUGAGUCCCCGUAGCGAGCAGUACGGAGUGCUACAGCUGUCAGUUUCGCUUGCUUUUCGUUUGCGGCUCUGUGUUGUGAAGUUUCAGCUGCCUGGGUCUCUCCACACGGACAUACACCGGGAGACAGAGCUCUCUCAUGCCCGGCUCCGCGCUCCUCUGCCCGGCUUCUCUCACGGCUCAGCGCAGGCAGUCCACGGGCAGGCGCUGGCAUAUCCCUCCGCGGAGCCUGACGCGCACUCUCGCUCGGGUCAUUCCAGGUUAAAGCGCUGUCGGAGCUGGAGCCCGUGUCCCGCUCACUUAAGCCCACGGAGAGAGAGCAACACCGCGUCAGCUCAAGAGGAAUGCACACGCAGCCGGCAGACUGCAUGUAACACACGGACUUGUGCUCCGGCAUAGGUGGUGGAGGUUUGAGGACAGGAGGAGACUGUAACAUGGUACACCUAACAAGAUCCAGACACUGACUCUGCAGGACAGCAGUACAGAAGGCAGAGUGCACAGGCCAGAGGAGGGCCAGGGGACUGGCACAGACUAAACAAGCGCAAUCAGAGACAGCAACCUGGUCCCCCAUGAGGCAACGGUGGGGCAGUUCAUCACCACAGAAGCAGCUUAUGAGGAGCCCAACCCAUAUUACAUGAUUGUUAUAUCCACAAUGCAAUGUGUGUAUCUGUACAGUGCCCAUGAACAUUUGUGUGAUAUUGGUCACACAUGAGAAUGUCUGUGUUUACUUUUUCUGAGAUUUUGAGACCACUCCCGUUGCUCUAACUCGAUCUGUCAGAGUUAUGACCAAAACCGCAUAUUUGACCUUAGUUACCUUGACCUUCAAGUAACCUUGACCAGUUUCAACCUGUAACAUCCAGUGUACCCCGGUUAUGUGUGUGCAAAAUGAUUAGGUGAAUAUUUUAGCCCCAGAUGGUUCAGAAAUUGACAAAAUUGCCUAUCCUUUAGAAUGACGUGACCAUUCAAUUGACCUGUGUGACCUCAAAUGACCUUGGAUCGCCCACCAAACUUUUUUUGUGGCAUCGGGCACGGGGGCUUGACCCAUGUACCAAAUUUGGUGACAAUCAGUCCAUAAAUGGUGGAAUUAUCUCAGGUGGACAGACACACACACACACGCAGACACACAGGGUGAAUACAAAACCUGGUCAACCCUUCGGGGACCAGGUAAUAAAAAUACUGAGGUUAACCAGCUAUGUCCAUAAAGCAGCUGAUUUCAGUAAAAAAGCAACUAUAACUUAAGCCCCUGGUGAUCAUUAGAUAUCACGUUGUUUAUUAGCCCCAAGCUAGUGUUCAGUUCAAUCCAAUUUUCAAUUGAAAAUUCAAUUCAAUUUAAAAAGUUUAUUGUCAAUUUUCAUAUCAAAAAGAUGAAGAAUUUAAAUUGUGUUCCUCAUUCCCAGUCUUCUGAAUAAAUAAUAAUAAUAAAUGAAAAA